rnacentral:rRNA from 1 species
CGGGGGGAGCAAGCGUUGUUCGGAUUUACUGGGCGUAAAGGGCGCGUAGGCGGCGCAACAAGUCACUUGUGAAAUCUCCGGGCUUAACCCGGAGCGGCCAAGUGAUACUGUCGUGCUAGAGUGCGGAAGGGGCUACUGGAAUUCUCGGUGUAGCGGUGAAAUGCGUAGAUAUCGAGAGGAACACCUGCGGCGAAGGCGGGUAGCUGGGCCGACACUGACGCUGAGGCGCGAAAGCCAGGGGAGCGAACGGGAUUAGAUACCCCGGUAGUCCUGGCCUUAAACGAUGGAUACUUGGUGUCCGGGGUUACAUAGUCCCCGGGUGCCGGCGCUAACGCAUUAAGUAUCCCGCCUGGGGAGUACGGUCGCAAGACUG